rnacentral:rRNA from 1 species
GAUCAUGGCUCAGGAUGAACGCUAGCUACAGGCUUAACACAUGCAAGUCGAGGGGCAGCAUGGUCUUAGCUUGCUAAGGCCGAUGGCGACCGGCGCACGGGUGAGUAACGCGUAUCAAACCUGCCUUACGACUCUUGGACAGCCUUCUGAAAGGGAGAUUAAUACAAGACGUUAUCAUGAGUAAGCAUUUUCGCAUGAUUAAAGGUUUACCGGUGUAAGAUGGGGAUGCGUUCCA